rnacentral:misc_RNA from 1 species
AAGUCGUAACAAGGUCUCCGUAGGUGAACCUGCGGAGGGAUCAUUAACACGUUAUCCACGUAUCAACACCCGCGAACUGUUUGUCCCGCAUUGUGAAGGGAGAUAAGGCUUGAGAGCGUAUCGGUCGCUCGAGAGAUUGCUUCGGCCUUCGGGUCGGAGGGAGACCUUCACAGUGCCGCCGAUUACCAAAACUACCAAAUUAUUUUAACUCAUGUAACAUUUGUCCUAAUACUUUCUACGUUAACGCGUGGAAAACAAAACAACUAAAGCACAACUCUUAGCAACGGAUAUCUUGGUUCUC